CAGUGCCACGGUAAUACGUAGGGUGCGAGCGUUAAUCGGAAUUACUGGGCGUAAAGCGUGCGCAGGCGGUUAUAUAAGACAGAUGUGAAAUCCCCGGGCUCAACCUGGGACCUGCAUUUGUGACUGUAUAGCUAGAGUACGGUAGAGGGGGAUGGAAUUCCGCGUGUAGCAGUGAAAUGCGUAGAUAUGCGGAGGAACACCGAUGGCGAAGGCAAUCCCCUGGACCUGUACUGACGCUCAUGCACGAAAGCGUGGGGAGCAAACAGGAUUAGAUACCCGUGUAGUCCCUGUCUCUUAUACC
rnacentral:rRNA from 1 species